UACAGAGGUCCCAAGCGUUGUUCGGAUUCACUGGGCGUAAAGGGUGCGUAGGCGGUUUGACAAGUCUGAUGUGAAAUCCCGCAGCUUAACUGCGGAACUGCAUUGGAAACUGUUUGACUAGAGGAAUGGAGGGGAGACUGGAAUACUUGGUGUAGCAGUGAAAUGCGUAGAUAUCAAGUGGAACACCAGUGGCGAAGGCGAGUCCCUGGACAGGUCCUGACGCUGAGGCACGAAAGCUAGGGGAGCAAACAGG
rnacentral:rRNA from 1 species